rnacentral:tRNA from 2 species
AGGGGCGUAGCUCAACUGGCAGAGCACCGGUCUCCAAAACCGGGUGUUGGGGGUUCAAUUCCCUCCGCCCCUGCCA